UACGUAGGCAGCGAGCGUUGUUCGGAGUUACUGGGCGUAAAGGGUGUGUAGGCGGUUGUUUAAGUUUGGUGUGAAAUCUCCCGGCUCAACUGGGAGGGUGCGCCGAAUACUGAAUGACUUGGAGUACGGGAGAGGAGAGUGGAAUUCCUGGUGUAGCGGUGAAAUGCGUAGAUAUCAGGAGGAACACCGGUGGUGUAGACGGCUCUCUGGACCGUAACUGACGCUGAGACACGAAAGCGUGGGUAGCAAACAGG
rnacentral:rRNA from 1 species